UAUUCUGGUGGCGUCCUUAAUAGACAAAGCCCAAAACCUGGGCGGAUUGAGUAGAACUUGCGAAGUGUUCGGCAUCCAAAACGUCGUUUUCCAUAAUGCAAAAAUAACCGAUGAGAAAGAGUUCAAAAGUUUAAGUAUGUCAUCGGAAAGUUGGAUCAACCGGUUUGAAGUGAAAGUGAAGGAUUUGCGAGAUUAUUUGUGGGCACUGAAAAGCCAAAGUUAUCGUAUUAUCGGCGCCGAACAGACUGUGGGAAGUCAGCAGCUUGAUAAAUUCAGCUUUCCACGCAAAAUUGCCUUAGUGCUGGGGAAUGAAAAGACUGGUAUUCCGCCGGAUAUAAUUCCGCUAUUGGACACCUGUUUGGAAAUUCCACAGUUUGGCCUGACUCGUUCUUUAAAUGUUCACGUCGCCGGAGCGAUGUUCAUGUGGGAAUUCGUUAAACAGCACGGCAGGAAACCGAGCGUAGACUAAAUGAACCAUCUUCGGUAUGCUUUUGAUAUUUACGAGUAAUUGGAGGGUAGCAAUAGACGAAAACCUUACGGUGUUUGCCUUCGGCCUACUGUGACGUCGUCCUAUUACUUCGGCAAUUUGCAGUAUUGCUGGUAACAUUGAAAUUACAGCAUUACAAAGCUCAAUAACGGAAACACCGCAUUUUACUUCUGCUGUACUGUUUUGCAUCUUUUAAUAAACUUUAUUUUUUUUUUAUUAA
rnacentral:lncRNA from 1 species